CCUACGGGAGGCAGCAGUGGGGAAUAUUGGACAAUGGGGGGAACCCUGAUCCAGCCAUGCCGCGUGUGUGAAGAAGGCCCUCGGGUUGUAGAGCACUUUCAGUGAGGAAGAACGCCUGGUGGUUAAUACCCAUCAGGAAAGACAUCACUCACAGAAGAAGCACCGGCUAACUCCGUGCCAGCAGCCGCGGUAAUACGGAGGGUGCGAGCGUUAAUCGGAAUUACUGGGCGUAAAGCGCGCGUAGGUGGCUUGAUAAGCCGGUUGUGAAAGCCCCGGGCUCAACCUGGGAACGGCAUCCGGAACUGUCAAGCUAGAGUGCAGGAGAGGAAGGUAGAAUUCCCGGUGUAGCGGUGAAAUGCGUAGAGAUCGGGAGGAAUACCAGUGGCGAAGGCGGCCUUCUGGACUGACACUGACACUGAGGUGCGAAAGCGUGGGUAGCAAACAGGAUUAGAUACCCCGGUAGUC
rnacentral:rRNA from 1 species